rnacentral:misc_RNA from 1 species
GAUGAAGAACGUAGCGAAAUGCGAUAAGUAAUGUGAAUUGUAGAAUUCAGCGAAUCAUCGAAUCUUUGAACGCACAUUGCGCCCGUCAGUAUUCUGGCGGGCAUGCCUGUUCGAGCGUCAUUACGCCCCUCAAGUCCCCUGUGGACUUGGUGUUGGGGAUCGGCGAGGCUGGUUUUCCAGCACAGCCGUCCCUUAAAUUAAUUGGCGGUCUCGCCGUGGCCCUCCUCUGCGCAGUAGUAAAACACUCGCAACAGGAGCCCGGCGCGGUCCACUGCCGUAAAACCCCCCAACUUUUUAUAGUUGACCUCGAAUCAGGUAGGACUACCCGCUGAACUUAAGCAUAUCAAUAAGCGGAGGA